rnacentral:rRNA from 1 species
UGGGGAAUAUKGGACAAKGGGCGAAAGCCUGAUSCAGCAACGCCGCGUGAGGGAUGACGGCCUUCGGGUUGUAAACCUCUUUCAGCGCAGACGAAGCGAAAGUGACGGKAUGCGCAGARGAAGCACCGGCCAACUACGUGCCAGCAGCCGCGGUAAUACGUAGGGUGCGAGCGUUGUCCGGAAUUAUUGGGCGUAAAGGGCUCGUAGGCGGUCUGUCGCGUCAGGAGUGAAAACUCGGGGCUCAACCCCGAGCCUGCUUCUGAUACGGGCAGACUAGAGGUAUGCAGGGGAGAACGGAAUUCCUGGUGUAGCGGUGAAAUGCGCAGAUAUCAGGAGGAACACCGGUGGCGAAGGCGGUUCUYUKGGCAUUACCUGACGCUGAGGAGCGAAAGUGUGGGGAGCGAACAGGAUUAGAUACCCUGGUAGUCCACACCGUAAACGUUGGGCGCUAGGUGUGGGGCUCAUUCCACGAGUUCCGUGCCGCAGCUAACGCAUUAAGCGCCCCGCCUGGGGAGUACG